rnacentral:rRNA from 1 species
UCGUCGACGCGUCGUCUGCCUCGGUAGGCGCGCGUUGCGAGUACGCGUUCGUAUUCCGGCCGGCUCGCCAGACGGUAUGUCGAUGGUGGCCGUGGCGGUCGUUCGCUUCACGGCGAUCAGCGCCGUUCACGGUACCGGUUUGCGACGAAUCUUCGGGCCUCUUUCCGACCCGUCUUGAAACACGGACCAAGGAGUCUAACGUGCGCGCGAGUCGCGGGGUGUCGAGCAGCGGAGGUUCGCCUUUGUUGCUCGUUACGACGCGAAACCCGUACCGUUUAUUCGGAAGGCGCAAUGAAAGUGAAACAGGGGAAGAUGGCGUUACCGAGUUCACGUUUCGCGACUCGAUCGCGACCGGUCGCCCGCAUUCCCAGGGCGUCCCAACGGUGCGACGGCGUUGCGGAUCGUCGUUCUUUCGGGAACGGCGGUCGGGCGUCGUCGGUCCGGGGCGCACCUAUAGCGUGCACGUUGGUACCCGAAAGAUGGUGAACUAUGCCCGGCCAGGAUGAAGUCAGGGGAAACCCUGAUGGAGGUCC